ensembl:lncRNA
CAGGCCUAGAAGAUGGACUACAUCCAAGAAGCCUGGCCCAUCUAAGGCCAAGUCACAUCUUUAAGAAAUAUUUGAAAGCAUUUGUGCACGGGAUAAAGGUGCAAGGACCAAAGUCUCCUUGGACAUUCCAGCCUACACAGGGUCUGACAGACUCAGGUCAAAGGUUACGUCUGAAGCCUAGAUGAUGAAGAAGGCCCCACUCCACAGGAGAAGCCUGUGGCUGAUGCUAUUGCAACUAGGACUAUGAUUGUGAAACUUGUGUCUGUGGAUAGCAGAUUCACGAAUCUUGUGCCCAGGUAUCCACAGGCCUUUUUUCAUACAUUCCUUUGUAUAACUUUGCAAGUCCUGAUUUUGGAAGUGUUGGGUCCUUAUGCUAUCUCACUUGACAUAUAGUCCAAGAAAGAUUUUUACCCCUUUAAGGGGCUAGAAAUAGACUGGACUCACAGUUACCAUUAAAACUGAAGUUCUGUCCUGUGUGGUUAUUGGCCCUUUUAAAACUUGUUUGACUGGGAACAAGGCUCAGAGCCUGAUAUUUUCAAGAUUCUCCCCUACAAAUUCAGAAACCCACAGCUCAAAGCAGUACAGAUAACACUCAGAAAUUAAUACAAGGACAAGGUGUCUGACAUGAGAAUCUUACAGAUUUAUUUAAAGGUCCAGGACUCAGCAACACUACACCUACGUGGAAUCAUUCAGGGAUUCCACCGUUAGAAUUUGGGAGCUGCCAUUCACUGAAAUAACCAUUGGAGACUCUUAUUGACAUAUCAUGGCCUCCAUGACCCAUAGUGCUGUGACUGCCAUGCUCUCUGUCAAACUCCAUAGGAUGUCACCAUUAGUAGGAUACUAGUGCAGGGCAGCAGAGCAGUACAGUGGCCCUAGGGUGGUGUCAUGGGUGGUUCUAGGAGAUACUGACAUCACACCACACUCUACAUCUAGAAUGAAAGGAAGAGGAACACAGGAGGGAGUGUGUGAUUGAAUUCAUGGCCCAAAGCAGGCUAGGUGUCAGCUACCAGUCUGAAAGAGCACAUCUGCCUCUGUAUGGAGGAUUCAGAUCAGGAAUGUGACCGGGACCAGAUGAUUCAAUUCUCGCAAGAGGAAAGUCCUUUAC